UACGGAGGCCGCAAGCGUUGUUCGGAAUUACUGGGCGUAAAGCGCGUGUAGGCGGCCAGGUAAGUCGGAUGUGAAAGCCCGGGGCCCAACCCCGGAACUGCACCCGAUACUGCCCGGCUGGAGUCCCGGAGAGGAUGGCGGAAUUUCCGGUGUAGAGGUGAAAUUCGUAGAUAUCGGAAGGAACACCAGUGGCGAAGGCGGCCAUCUGGACGGUGACUGACGCUGAGACGAGAAAGCGUGGGGAGCAAACAGG
rnacentral:rRNA from 1 species